UACUCAGAGCUGGACUCCAGGCCCCCUGCCCCCUCCCCCCUUCCAGCCGCUGUUGUUACGUGGAGUUUGGAGCUUAAGCUUUGAAAACUCCAAGUGGCGCCUGUCUGAAGUCGGAGCAUGCUCAGUA
rfam:Ochotona princeps cont2.609776, whole genome shotgun sequence.